CACUGCCUUAAUCAUAGUUCAUUGGGAAUAGAACAUGCAUUGGCUCAUUAUGGAAGCAAGGCUUUUGAGGGGAAAGAAAUUCUUUUCAUAGCUAGGAAGACUUCUAGAUCAGAGUAUAGGUUUGAAGAUUAUGUAGAAAUCAUAAACAUGACCGAUGAAGAGGGAUCUGUUCGUCGUUUCCAUGAGCUUGGCAAUAACUUUACUCCUACGAAGUCGAUAUAUAUUGAUCCAUUUGCCCAACUUGACGUGGAGGCGCACGAUAGUGUAUUAGUUUCAAGUGUGCAGAAAUUUAUCACUAAAGGGAAGAAGCCUUUGAUUGAUCUAGAAACUCCAUCAAAUUUUUCUUGUGUUACCACUGGAUCAUUCUC